rnacentral:rRNA from 1 species
UACGGAGGAUCCAAGCGUUAUCCGGAUUCAUUGGGUUUAAAGGGUGCGUAGGCGGAAUUGUAAGUCAGUGGUGAAAGCCUGCAGCUUAACUGCAGAAUUGCCAUUGAUACUGCAAAUCUUGAGUACAUUUGAUGUGGGCGGAAUGUGUCAUGUAGCGGUGAAAUGCUUAGAUAUGACACAGAACACCGAUUGCGAAGGCAGCUCACUAAACUGUAACUGACGCUGAGGCACGAAAGCGUGGGGAGCAAACAGG